rnacentral:rRNA from 1 species
AGCGAACGCUGGCGGCAGGCCUAACACAUGCAAGUCGAACGAACCUUUCGGGGUUAGUGGCGGACGGGUGAGUAACACGUGGGAACGUGCCUUUAGGUUCGGAAUAACUCAGGGAAACUUGUGCUAAUACCGAAUGUGCCCUUCGGGGGAAAGAUUUAUCGCCUUUAGAGGGGCCCGCGUCUGAUUAGCUAGUUGGUUGAGGUAAUGGCUCACCAAGGCGACGUUAACUAGCUGGUCUGAGAGGAUGAUCCGCCACAUUGGGACUGAGACACGGCCCAAACUCCUACGGGAGGCAGCAGUGGGGAAUCUUGCGCAAUGGGCGAAAGCCUGACGCAGCCAUGCCGCGUGAAUGAUGAAGGUCUUAGGAUUGUAAAAUUCUUUCACCGGGGACGAUAAUGACGGUACCCGGAGAAGAAGCCCCGGCUAACUUCGUG